UUCAAGGCUCAAGGGGGAAUGGCAGAGGUGUAAUAGUAUGAACUGACAACAUGCUAGUUUGUCUUCCUUUAUAUCUUUUCAUUUUUCCUACUUAAUUUGACUGAUGAUCCGGCAAGAAAAUUCUGUGGAAGCUUUUCAACUGCUCCUUGGUUUCUCUUUAUCAUAUCACCCGAGCGACAUUAACGCUCAUUCCCUUUUCGUAUACCCUUUUCUUCCUCGGAACUACCACAAGAUUGUUAAGA